rnacentral:lncRNA from 1 species
AUGGGAGAAGAGUCCAAUCUUCUAUAGACUCUUUGUUUUGUUAUUUGACUCCUAACCAAAUCAUAUCUGCUUAAGCCCAAAUAAAAUAGAUAAAAUUUAAUAUAAUUAAAUUAAUAAAUUUUUAAUCAAAUUAAAAAUUAAUUAAAUCAAAGUUCUGAUCAAAUCAGGAAUAAUUCUCUCUUAGCGAUUAGGUCAUCUCACAGCCUAAUCAGGUCAAACCUAAUUGAAUU